CAAAUUAAGGUUGGAUUUUAAUACGGCAUAAUGCUUAUCGCUUUUCGGCAGUGAUAGCGUUUUUAUAAUGAUGUAGAAACAAUCGCAAAUGCUUAACCUGAGAAAACGGUUCUUUGUUUUUUCCUUUCAAUUGUCAGCUGCCUAUUCUUUUGCAGCUUGACGACACCCGUUUACCUCUAUGCGGACUCACGUACUGUUUACUCUCUCUUCAAAGUGCUUUUCAACUUUCCCUCACGGUACUUGUUCGCUGUCGGAUGGAGUUUGCCACCCAAUUUGGGCUGCAUUCCUAAACAACCUGACUCGAAGGUCGACCUCUGUCUCUGUGUUUGCAGUGUUUUGGAGAAACCGAUCACUUCAGCUGACUAAUUUCGGGCCGCGCAUUUCUCCGCACGCGUGUGCUGCGAACCCUUCCCGGUGCGAGUGGUGCGCGCGCGCGUGAGGGCGUGGACUGCGAUAGGAGAUGUGAGCGGUGGAUUCAUCGCUAGCCUCCGGGUACGGAACAGGUGUGUCUACUUCAAAGAGUGACAAGCAUUACGAAUGUGCACGAAAGUGUGCAACCACAGGUCUGUGAUGCCCUUAGAUGUCCGGAGCCGCACGAACGCUACAAUGACGGUGCCAACGAUUCUGACCUUCUGGACCGAAAGGAUUGGGCAAACUGGUCAAUCAACGUCAUGACAGGGAUCGGGGCUUGUAAUUGUUCCCCGUGAACGAGGAAUUCCUUGUUAGUGCAAUUCAUAAGCUUGCGCUCAUUACGUCCUUGCUCUUUGUACACACCGUUCGUCGCUAGUACCGAUUGAAUGGUUUAGUAAAAGGGUUGGGCAAACUGGUCAAUCACCGUCAUGACAGAGAUCGGGGCUUGGAAUUGGUCCCCUGAACGAGGAAUUCCUAGUAAGUGCAAGUCAUAAGCUUGCGCUGAUUACGUCCCUGCCCUUUGUACACACCAACCAUCGCUUGUACCGAUUGAAUGGUUUAGUAAGGUCCUCGGAUUGGAGCCAUUGCAGUGCGAGGCGCAAAGUUGUUGCUCGACAAGUACCAAGAAGACGACGAAACUUGAUCAUUUAGAGAUAAGAAAAUUCAUAACAAUGUUUCCGUAGGUGAAUUUGCGGAAGGAUCAUUA
rnacentral:ncRNA from 1 species